AGUGGACUUUGGCAUCUGAAGAGGCACAUCUGGUGAACCUAUGCACAAAUUCUGUUCGGAAGCCACCCUGCAACAGAGGAGAUCAUCUGUGCUUCCAGCCAGACUGUGCAGUGUAUCUGGACACCACAGAAAAGUGUGCCCCUCCCUGACCUAUGGCCAGAGUUUUGCAGCGUGCCUUAUAUUCCAAUUAAGAAGACACAGAGAGGAGCCUGUUUACACGUCUCCAGCAGCCUACCCAGAGAUCUCGCAGUAAAAAGAGUAGAAAAAGAAUGAUUCCUUCCCUCUCUUAGAAGAACUCAACACUGGAUUCUUCAAGCCUGGGCUUCUUUGCA